rnacentral:rRNA from 1 species
UACGUAGGCAGCAAGCGUUGUUCGGAAUUACUGGGCGUAAAGGGUGCGUAGGCGGCUUUUUAAGUUUGGUGUGAAAUCUCCCGCUCAACUGGGAGGGUGCGCCGAAUACUGAGAAGCUAGAGUGUGGGAGAGGGAAAGUGGGAAUUCCUGGUGUAGCGGUGAAAUGCGUAGAUAUCAGGAGGAACACCGGUGGUGUAAACGCUUUCUGGACCAUAACUGACGCUGAGGCACGAAAAGCGUGGGGUAGCAAAACAGG